rnacentral:rRNA from 1 species
UGGGGAAUAUUGCACAAUGGGGGAAACCCUGAUGCAGCGACGCCGCGUGGGUGAUGAAGGCCUUCGGGUUGUAAAGCCCUGUCGGCUGGGAACAAGUUAGACGUGCUCAUACCACGUUUGAUUGAGUGUACCAGCAAAGGAAGCACCGGCUAACCCUGUGCCAGCAGCCGCGGUAAUACAGGGGGUGCUAGCGUUGUUCGGAAUUACUGGGCGUAAAGGGCGCGUAGGCGGUUUUACAAGUCAGGAGUGAAAUCCCGGAGCUUAACUUCGGAAUUGCUUUUGAAACUGUAAGGCUAGAGUAAGUUAGAGGAUGUCGGAAUUCCUAGUGUAGAAGUGAAAUUCGUAGAUAUUAGGAAGAACACCGGUGGCGAAGGCGGACAUCUGGGACUUAACUGACGCUGAGGCGCGAAAGCGUGGGGAUCAAACA